rnacentral:rRNA from 1 species
GACGAACGCUGGCGGCGUGCUUAACACAUGCAAGUCGAGCGGUAAGGCUCCUUCGGGAGUACACGAGCGGCGAACGGGUGAGUAACACGUGAGCAACCUGCCCUUCUCAUCGGAAUAAGCGUUGGAAACGACGUCUAAUGCCGAAUAUGACAACGGAUCGCAUGAUCUGUUGUGGAAAGCUCCGGCGGAGAAGGAUGGGCUCGCGGCCUGUCAGCUUGUUGGUGGGGUAACGGCCCACCAAGGCGACGACGGGUAGCCGGCCUGAGAGGGUGACCGGCCACACGGGGACUGAGACACGGCCCAGACUCCGACGGGAGGCAGCAGUGGGGAAUAUUGGACAAUGGGCGCAAGCCUGAUCCAGCAACGCCGCGUGAGGGACGACGGCCUUCGGGUUGUAAACCUCUUUUAGCAGGGAAGAAGCGAAAGUGACGGUACCUGCAGAAAAAGCACCGGCUAACUACGUGCCAGCAGCCGCCGUAAUAC